UGUAGAUGAGCUCUCUGAAGUCAAAACUCAGAAACCGUCAGAAACUUCUGCUUCCAUGCCAAAGAAGCUAACGCGUUCCCCGAAAAAAGUCCCGGUGAAAAAUGGAGUGGCGUCACCGACGAAAUCUUCACCAAAGAUCCCACCCAUCAAAGCUCCCGUCGGUCAAGCUCCAACUCCUAACGUCAGAGCGUUACCUCAAAAAUAGGAUCGCUACAAAACGUUAAGCAUAAACCUGGAGGAGGAGAGAAAAAG